rnacentral:lncRNA from 1 species
CUCUCUCGUUUCUCUCUCUCUCUCUCACUGCAGUUCAAAAUCUCUCAAAGCUCAACCCACUAAUUUCAAUUCAUUCUUGAUUUCUGACCUCUAAUUUAAGUUUACCGGUUCAAUUCCUCCAUAAAGCAAGAGCCUUUUGCUCUUUUGCCUCUUCGCCAAAUUUGGCCCCCUUUGUGAAAUUAGGGAUUAGCUCAUCUCAGACGGCUUCCAUGGACGCCUCCUACUGGUGCUACACAUGCAGCAGAACGAUUCAGAAUACCCAUUUGUGGUCUGAAACCCAGGUUGAGAAAUCGACGAUUCAGAUCUAUCUUUGAAGCUGUGAUAUAUUAUUCUAAUCAACCUCUGUUGGAGGUGGGUUUUGGAAGAGGACGGGGAGUAAGAGUGGAAAAUGGUGGCCAUCUGUUGAAGUUCCUUCAAGAUCUGCAGAAUAAUCAUGAAGAACAAUUAUUUUAUU